CCUACGGGUUGUAAAGCACUUUUAGUGGGGACAAAAAGCUACGGAUUAAUACUCUGUGGUCUUUAACCCAAAGAAAAAGCACCGGCUAACUCUGUGCCAGCAGCCGCGGUAAUACAGAGGGUGCGAGCGUUAAUCGGAAUUACUGGGCGUAAAGCGCGCGUAGACGGUUUUGUAAGUCAGAUGUGAAAUCCCUGGGCUCAACCUGGGAACUGCAUUUGAGACUGCAUGGCUAGAGUAUGGAAGAGGGAAGUGGAAUUCCGGUGUAGCGGUGAAAUGCGUAGAUAUCGGAAGGAACACCAGUGGCGAAAGCGACUUCCUGGUCCAAACUGACGUUCAUGUGCGAAAGCGUGGGGAGCAAACAGGAUUAGAUACCCUUGUAGUC
rnacentral:rRNA from 1 species